rnacentral:rRNA from 1 species
UACGUAGGGGGCAAGCGUUGUCCGGAUUUAUUGGGCGUAAAGCGCGUGUAGGCGGCUUUGCAAGUCGGGUGUGAAAGCCCUCAGCUUAACUGAGGAAGUGCGCCCGAAACUGCUUGGCUUGAGUACCGGAGAGGAUGGUGGAAUUCCCGAAGUAGAGGUGAAAUUCGUAGAUAUCGGGAGGAACACCGGUGGCGAAGGCGACCAUCUGGACGGAUACUGACGCUGAGACGCGAAAGCGUGGGUAGCAAACAGG